AGAGUUGAUCAUGGCUCAGGACGAACGCUGGCGGCGUGCCUAACACAUGCAAGUCGAGCGGAGUCAGUAAGAGGAAGUUUCGGAUGGAAUCUGUUGAUUAGCGGCGGACGGGUGAGUAACGCGUGAGCGACCAACCUUGCACAGGGGGAUAACGGACCGAAAGGUUCACUAAUACCGCAUGAGACCACGGUGUUGCAUGACACAGAGGUCAAAGGAGCAAUCCGGUGCAAGACGGGCUCGCGUCCGAUUAGGUAGUUGGAGGGUAACGGCCCACCAAGCCUAUGAUCGGUAGCCGACCUGAGAGGGUGAUCGGCCACAUUGGAACUGAGAUACGGUCCAAACUCCUACGGGAGGCAGCAGUGGGGAAUAUUGGGCAAAUGGGGGAAACCCUGACCCAGCAACGCCGCGUGAAGGAAGAAGGUUUUCGGAUUGUAAACUUCUGUCCUUGGUGAAGAGAAGAAGACGGUAGCCAAGGAGGAAGCCCCGGCUAACUACGUGCCAGCCGCGGC
rnacentral:rRNA from 1 species